rnacentral:rRNA from 1 species
UAAUGNCUCUCGGCAACGGAUAUCUCGGCUCUCGCAUCGAUGAAGAACGUAGCGAAAUGCGAUACUUGGUGUGAAUUGCAGAAUCCCGUGAACCAUCGAGUCUUUGAACGCAAGUUGCGCCCCAAGCUGUUAGGCUGAGGGCACGUCUGCCUGGGUGNCACG